UGGGGAAUCUUCCGCAAUGGGCGAAAGCCUGACGGAGCAACGCCGCGUGAGUGAUGACGGCCUUCGGUUGUAAAGCUCUGUGAUCGGGACGAACGGUCAGCAGACGAAUACUCUGCUGAAGUGACGGUACCCGAAUAGCAAGCCACGGCUAACUACGUGCCAGCAGCCGCGGUAAUACGUAGGUGGCAAGCGUUGUCCGGAAUUACUGGGUGUAAAGGGAGCGCAGGCGGGAAAUCAAGUUGGAUGUGAAAUGUCGGGGCUUAACCCCGGAACUGCAUCCAAAACUGAUAUUCUUGAGUGAAGUAGAGGUAGGCGGAAUUCCGAGUGUAGCGGUGAAAUGCGUAGAUAUUCGGAGGAACACCAGUGGCGAAGGCGGCCUACUGGGCUUUAACUGACGCUGAGGCUCGAAAGUGUGGGGAGCAAACAGGAUUAGAUACCCUGGUAGU
rnacentral:rRNA from 1 species